UACGGAGGGUGCAAGCGUUAUCGGAAUUACUGGGCGUAAAGCGUGCGCAGGCGGUUUUGUAAGUCUGACGUGAAAUCCCCGGGCUCAACCUGGGAAUUGCGUUGGAGACUGCAAGGCUAGAAUCUGGCAGAGGGGGGUAGAAUUCCACGUGUAGCAGUGAAAUGCGUAGAGAUGUGGAGGAACACCGAUGGCGAAGGCAGCCCCCUGGGUCAAGAUUGACGCUCAUGCACGAAAGCGUGGGGAGCAAACAAGG
rnacentral:rRNA from 1 species